GCCGCAAUGGCGCAGUGGUAACGCGUAGCACUUGUAAUGCUAAGACCCCUGGUUCAAUUCCAGGUUGCGGCA